CCUACGGGUGGCAGCAGUGAGGAAUAUUGGUCAAUGGGCUUACGCCUUAACCAGCCAAGUCGCGUGAGGGAAGACUGCCCUAUGGGUUGUAAACCUCUUUUGUCAGGGAGCAAUUGGCGCUACGUGUAGCGUUAUCGAGAGUACCUGAAGAAAAAGCAUCGGCUAACUCCGUGCCAGCAGCCGCGGUAAUACGGAGGAUCCGAGCGUUAUCCGGAUUUAUUGGGUUUAAAGGGUGCGUAGGCGGCCUUUUAAGUCAGCGGUGAAAGUCUGUGGCUCAACCAUAGAAUGGCCGUUGAAACUGGGGGGCUUGAGUAUGUUUGAGGCAGGCGGAAUGCGUGGUGUAGCGGUGAAAUGCUUAGAUAUCACGCAGAACCCCGAUUGCGAAGGCAGCCUGCCAAGCCAUGACUGACGCUGAUGCACGAAAGCGUGGGGAUCAAACAGGAUUAGAUACCCUAGUAGUC
rnacentral:rRNA from 1 species